GUUUCUAUGUACAUUUUAUGCACCUUGUUGAUCUUUAUUAUAGCAACGUAUGGCUUUCUAGCAGGCCUGCUCUGUACUGUAUAUAAAUAUAAUGUGGGAAAAGCUAUCUAAUGUGGAGUCAGUAACGCUAAAUAUUUGUAAGGCUCUGUAGCCAGGAUAUAAUGGACCAUAACAGACUUGGAUAACAUCAGAAAAUUUAAAAUAAUACAAGUUCAGUAACUCCUUCUAUUGUAUAUCUG